CGGUCACAUCAUGUUAAAACACUGGUUCCUGUGCGGUCACCGAAGUUAAGCAAUGUUUAGACUGGUCAGUACCUAGUUGGCUGACCGCUUGGGAAUAACAGGUGCUGUG